CCAAUAGCGUAUAUUAAAGUUGUUGCGGUUAAAAAGCUCGUAGUCGAAUCUGUGUCCUACACUGUUGGUUCACCGCUCGCGGUGUUUAACUAGCAUGUUAUGUGGGACGUCCUACCGGUGGGUGGUACAAAUUAUAUAUAAAAUAUAUAUUUAUAUAUAUUUAUAUUAUGUAAUUUGUCGUAAGUGUUUAACCGUUAAGAGCGGUGGCAGCCCCCAAUUGCAAUCCCGUCGCGGUGCUCUUAAUUGAGUGUCGAGGUGGGCCGGUACGUUUACUUUGAACAAAUUAGAGUGCUUAAGGCAGGCUCAAAUUUUGCCUGAAUAUUGUGUGCAUGGAAUAAUGGAAUAGGACCUCGGUUCUAUUUUGUUGGUUUUCGGAACUCCGAGGUAAUGAUUAAUACGGACAGAUGGGGGCAUUCGUAUUGCGACGUUAGAGGUGAAAUUCUUGGAUCGUCGCAAGACGGACAGAAGCGAAAGCAUUUGCCAAAAAUGUUUUGAUUGAUCAAGAACGAAAGUUAGAGGUUCGAAGGCGAUCAGAUACCGCCCUAGUUCUAACCAUAAACGAUGCCAGCUAGCGAUCCGCCGAAGUUCCUCCGAUGACUCGGCGGGCAGCUUCCGGGAAACCAAAGCUUUUGGGUUCCGGGGGAAGUAUGGUUGCAAAGCUGAAACUUAAAGGAAUUGACGGAAGGGCACCACCAGGAGUGGAGCCUGCGGCUUAAUUUGACUCAACACGGGAAACCUCACCAGGCCCGGACACCGGAAGGAUUGACAGAUUGAGAGCUCUUUCUUGAUUCGGUGGGUGGUGGUGCAUGGCCGUUCUUAGUUGGUGGAGCGAUUUGUCUGGUUAAUUCCGAUAACGAACGAGACUCUAGCCUGCUAAAUAGACGUACUUUACCAGCAUCUCAAGGCCCAUCGGCUGUUUGUUUCCCAUUUCAUUCAUUUACAUAUGUUUUAUGUAUUGUAUUUAUAUAUGCAUAUAUUUUUGAGAUUUAACGAUCAAGAUUAUAUUUUGUAUAUAUUUUGCUUUAUGUUGCAUAUGUUAUGGUGUAUGGGUUCGCAGUUUUUUGAUGUGGUUUUUACUGCUGGCGUACAAAUAAUUCUUCUUAGAGGGACAGGCGGCAUUCUAGCCGCACGAGAUUGAGCAAUAACAGGUCUGUGAUGCCCUUAGAUGUUCUGGGCCGCACGCGCGCUACACUGAAGGAAUCAGCGUGUCCUCCCAGGCCGAAAGGUCCGGGUAACCCGCUGAACCUCCUUCGUGCUAGGGAUUGGGGCUUGCAAUUGUUCCCCAUGAACGAGGAAUUCCCAGUAAGCGCGAGUCAUAAGCUCGCGUUGAUUACGU
rnacentral:rRNA from 1 species